rnacentral:snoRNA from 1 species
AUUCCAUUAUGAUGACACCUUCUCUCUAUUUCCUUGAAUAUUUCCCAUGCUUCGAAGACUGUUUCAGUAUCCUCUUGGCAGAAGUCAUGGAUUUCCCUUCUGAAUUU